rnacentral:rRNA from 1 species
AUUUAACGCUGGCGUCAUGCCUUACACAUGCAAGUCGAACGGCAGCACGGGAGCAAUCCUGGUGGCGAGUGGCGAACGGGUGAGUAAAGUAUCGGAACGUGCCCAGUCGUGGGGGAUAACGUAGCGAAAGUUACGCUAAUACCGCAUACGAUCUAUGGAUGAAAGCGGGGGAUCGCAAGACCUCGCGCGAUUGUAGCGGCCGGUAUCAGAUUAGGUAGCUGGUGGGGUAAAGGCUCACCAAGCCGACGAUCCGUCGCUGGUCUGAGAGGACGACCAGCCACACUGCGACUGAGACACGGCCCAGACUCCGACGCGAGGCAGCAGUGGUGAAUUUUGGACGUGGGGCGAACGCCUGACCCAGCCAGGCCGCGUUGAGGAUGAAGGCCUUCGGGUUGUAAACUGCCUUUGGACGGAACGAAGAAGUUUGGCCUAAUAAGCUGAGCUCAUGACGGUACCGUAAGAAUAAGCACCGGCUAACUACGUGCCAGCAGCCGCCGUAA